AUUGAACGCUGGCGGCAUGCCUUACACAUGCAAGUCGAACGGUAACAGGUCUUCGGAUGCUGACGAGUGGCGAACGGGUGAGUAAUACAUCGGAACGUGCCCAGUCAUGGGGGAUAACUACUCGAAAGAGUAGCUAAUACCGCAUACGAUCUGAGGAUGAAAGCGGGGGACCUUCGGGCCUCGCGCGAUUGGAGCGGCCGAUGGCAGAUUAGGUAGUUGGUGGGAUAAAAGCUUACCAAGCCGACGAUCUGUAGCUGGUCUGAGAGGACGACCAGCCACACUGGGACUGAGACACGGCCCAGACUCCUACGGGAGGCAGCAGUGGGGAAUUUUGGACAAUGGGCGAAAGCCUGAUCCAGCAAUGCCGCGUGCAGGAUGAAGGCCUUCGGGUUGUAAACUGCUUUUGUACGGAACGAAAAAGCUUCUCCUAAUACGAGAGGCCCAUGACGGUACCGUAAGAAUAAGCACCGGCUAACUACGUGCCAGCAGCCGCGGUAAUACGUAGGGUGCGAGCGUUAAUCGGAAUUACUGGGCGUAAAGCGUGCGCAGGCGGUUAUGUAAGACAGAUGUGAGAUCCCCGGGCUCAACCUGGGAACUGCAUUUGUGACUGCAUGGCUAGAGUACGGUAGAGGGGGAUGGAAUUCCGCGUGUAGCAGUGAAAUGCGUAGAUAUGCGGAGGAACACCGAUGGCGAAGGCAAUCCCCUGGACCUGUACUGACGCUCAUGCACGAAAGCGUGGGGAGCAAACAGG
rnacentral:rRNA from 1 species